UAAAAGAUAAGGUAAGAAUACUCUUCAAUUAAAAAUGGUGGGCAUCGUCGAGCGCCUUUUUUCAAUAAAUUUCUUUAAGGCAGCAACCAUUUCAAUUGGAGAGCUUGUUUGAUUCUCAAAAAUAGCUUUGUUCGUGACCUUUCAUACAUUUCAACACAAACAAGCUAGUAGAUCUAUUUUUCUCUCUCCACCAUGACCACCACGUAGGGAUGCCGAUGAAGCUUCCCACCAUGCUCGAAAACUUGAGAAUUGAUUGGCAUCUUUGACAGAUUAGACUUGUUGUAGGAAACUUUCGGUGCAGUUGUGAAAGAACAGGGAGUUGUUCAUGCAAGCAUUUUUAAAUAAAAAUCUGAAUCUUGUGAGAAAUUUAUUGUUUCCAAAUAUCAUUCCAUACUAAUUAUUUUGAUUCUGAUUUGGGUUUACAUCUGGGUAAGAAUGGUAAAAUUGAUAUGCAACACAGUAAUCAAAAGCAACAUCAUAUGAUUUUGACUUGUUUAAAACCCAUUCUAAAACAUUUCACCCUCAUCCGAUUUGAUUAUUUCAAUUCGGAGAUAAUAAAAGGGGAAAAAAGUUACUGUAGGAGGUGCUGAUUUCAUUCUCUGUUUUCUAUUAAAAGAUCUUUAACAUAGGCAACUUGAUAGGAUUGUGUGUGAAAAAUCAUAGCUGAAAAAAUACUCAUUGGGUAAGGAGGAGACAGUUAUGUGUCUGAAAAAAAUACGAAUUGAAAUUACAGAACCAACUUUCUAAUGGAGGCCCUUUUCAACUACUUUUUGUCCCUCCAACAUACUGCACCAUCCUUAAGAAGGUAUGUUCCUUACUUCUGCAGACAUAAUAUUACCAUAUAUAUAGUAUUUACCUUUGUAUAUCUAGGUUAGGAUAGUCUGUGAUUUUGUUGUGAUUCUUCAAAACUGUUUGCUUAAUAGAGCUAGGUUUUGAACUCAGAGAUCUUUAAACUCGAGACGCCAUCCUUUUUUGGUCGAGUCAUUUGGUCUCAACUAAUCUACGCCAUACACUUUUCAGUCCAUUUCUGUCCCCAUCAGAAAUUAGUCAGGAUACUAUGAAUUUCAGAUAGGAGAGUAACUGGUAAUUUGAAAUAUGAUAGUGUGUAUAUAAGAACUACCUCACCUAUAACCCUUAGAACUUGUCAGCCUCCAGCUGAUAAUAGAUUUCACUGUCAUCCAUGCAGCUUUUUUCUUAUUUUCUUCCUAAUUUCACUAAAAGUUUCACUCUUGGAUUUCUGGACAAGAGAAGAAAACUCCAAAUACUUAUUUUGAGCUCCAAGUAAGAGAUAUUUAAUCUACCUGCUAUAUAUGUCUGAAUCUGAGGAGAGGUGUUGUUACUGAAAAAGAGAGCUGAUUUAUUCAAAUUGACCUGUUGAUCACUAAUACAUUCAUAUGAAUUGAACAAGUUCAGAAUAUUUUUAUAAUUCUCUUCUAAGACCUUACAAAAUAGGAUAGAGUCAUCAGCAAAUAGCAAGUGAUUUAUAAUAGGACAUCACCGAUUAAUCUGAUUCUCCGGGACCUGUUUGUUUUGUUCUACUUUGUGUAGUAAGAAGGAAAGCCUUCUGUACAGAAAAAAAAAGAUUGGGAGAAAGAGGAUCACCCUGUCAAAUUCUCUUUUCUGGUUUGAAGAACCCAAAGGGUUGAACUUCCACAAUAACAGAAUAAGAAAUAGUUGACACAAGUUCACGAAUCCAGUCAAUCAAUUUUACCCCAAAACCUAGUUUGUCCAUAAUGAACCAUAAAAAUCUUCAUUCGACUCUGUCGUAGACUUUUCUCAUAUCCAAAUUGACAUCCAUUUCGGUCUCCAGACCACUCUUCUUAUUUUCAAGAUAAUGCAUGCAUUUAUGUGCUAUUAGAAUGUUAUCAGAGAUAAGAUUUUUUUUUAUAAAAGCACUCUGACUAGGGCUUAUCACUAAAUGCAUGAAUUUUUACAGUCUAUGAACUAGAAUUUUAGAAAUAAUUUUAUACAUAAUUAUAGACAAACUUAUUGGCUAUACUUAAGUCAUGUUGCUAGCAUCAGUAAUCUUUGGGAUCAAGCAAAUCUGAGUAGAGUUGAAAUUCUUAAGAAUUUUCUUCCUCCAAAGAAACUCCGAACAACCCUGAAAAUAUCUCCUCCUACAAUGUCUUCAAUACUUCUAAAAAAAUCUACAAUCAUACCAUCAUCUCCUGGAGCACUCUGGAGAUGGACAUUGAAGAUGGCUCGCUUCACUUCUUUCAUAACUACAAGUCUUUACAGCCGUCGGUUCAUGAGAGUUGUAACUUUAGGCUUAAAGCCCUGAAAAAUAGGUUCUCGGACUGUUUGACAUGUAGAGAAAAUUUUUUUUUUGAAGUAAUCAUCGGCAAUUGUUGCUAUACCUUGGUGCGUGAAAACUGUAUUUCUAGUAAGGCCAAUCAACCUCUAAAUUUUGUUUCUCCUGGUUCUGCCUUUGAACUUCCUAUGAAAGAAAGUUGUGUUUUUAACCCCUUCCUUGAGCCACUUGAUUUUGGAUUUUCUUUUCAGUAUCUUUCUUCAUUAAGCACUGCUUUUUUCAACCUCUGUUCUAGCUCCAUCAUUUUCACAUCUCCCUGAAUCCCACUCUGUCUUAGCUCUUCUAUUUCCGAGACAAGCUAAUAAUUAGUAGCCCUUUUAGAGUUAGCAUUACAAGACUGUUGCCAUUGUACCAACUUAUGGAGACAAAAUUUAAUCUUUUAAGCCACCACAUACAUUGUCGAGCCUUCUAUGCUAGUCUUCUAGACAUCCUCAAUUAAACGCUGAAUUUUUUCCACUUUACAUUAUCUAUCUUGAAACUUAAACUUGCAUUUUGAUUUUUUCAAAUGGAGAGAGAAAUCUAUGAGCAAUAGGCCGUGAUCUGAGCAGUAUCAGAUAGGAAAAGAACCAUCAGAUUAGGGUAUAGCUAUAACCAAUCCUCAAUUGCAAAACACCUAUUAAGUCUCUCUUGAAUUAACUCAUUUUCCCUCAUCCUAUUACUCCAUAUGAAUUUCCUGCUAAUCAUACCUAAAUUAGCCAAUAAUUUUUUUCAAUGAAACUAUUAAAUUCUGCCAUACUCACUAGGGACUUUUUUUUCUCCUCCCUUCUUUUCACUUGGGUUGGUAAUGGCAUUGAAAUCUCCUACAACAAUAAUUUUUUCUCUGUUUUAUCUGAUCGGUGCUAAUAUCUUUUCAAAUCGUUGAUGCCGGAGUUGAUCGUUAUGAUUGAAGUGCACACCAAUGAAUAACCAUAUCUCUCCCAAAUAGAUAUCCUUAAUUCUCACUACUAUAAAGAACUCCUUAGCUUCAAAAAUCUUGCAUCCACACCCUCUUUCCAUGCCAAAACUAAGCCAUCAUCCCUCCCAUUUGGUUUCACCAUGUACCACUUUGCAAAGCUACAUUCUCUCAUCUUUACCUCCACUUGUCGAGAUUGAUUUUUGAUUUUACUAAUAAAACCAAUCUCGGGAGAGUAGGAUUUACUAAUCCCUUUAAGAAUAUGGAUUGUCAGGGGGUCUCUCCAAACUCCAACAAUUCCAUAUAGGUAGUCUCAUAGUUCCCCGAAUGCCAGAUGAUAGCUCAGGUAUUACGACUCUUAAAAUAUUUAAUACUAAAAUAUGAGUCUGCUUAAAUUUAAAACCGAAUUUUUAAAAUACACCUCCAUACUUUUCAAUACAAUUUACAAUACGUAUAUAUAUAUAUAUAUAUAUAGACACACACACACACAUCAUACCAAUAUAUAAACUUCACAUAUCAAAACUCAUAUCCUUCUUGCAAAAAUUAUAAUAUUAAUGGAAAGGGGAGAAUAAUAAUAACUAAACUAAAAUAUCUUCUAUCGCAUAAGCUAAACUCAACUACUCUUCAUAAGCUUCUUCGUUCGUUUCUUGAAAAGAGAAGUCUGUAGGAAAGUGAGAACCUAACCACAUAGUCCCACCUCUAAGGUUUUGUAGCUCUCAGGUAGUUCCCACAAUUGUACUCAUACUCGAAAGCUAUGGAUCAAAUAGCCUUUUACCUGAUCCGUCUCCUUCCAAUGUCGGACAUAGAAGAUGAAAUCCUUAAAAAGUCAAAGGAAUCUUUUCUCUAUUCACAGCAUAUCCAAUUCACUAUUGAAGAAAGAAUUGGAAUUGGUUCCCUCUCUUUUCAACAACUCUAAACCUUUUUGGUCUCUCCCAAAUAACAUUUAGAGAAAAGGACAAAUAGGUCCCUGACCUUUUGUCCUGCAAAUGUUUUUGUCUCUGACCAUUGAAAAAUACUUUUAAGUCCCUGACCUUCACAAAAUUUGGAUAGAUCAGUCCCUCCGUCCAAAUGUCUCCGUCAGGAACUGAUCCGUCCAAAUUUUGUGAAGGUUAGGAACUUAAAAGUAUUUUUUAAUGGUCAGAGAUAAAAAUAUCUGUGAAGCAAAAGAUCAGGAACCUAUUUAUCCUUUUCUCUAACAUUUAAAGCAUUAGUCAUUGUUCUUGCUGAGAAUAAUUUUACCACCACUAUCCUCCUAAUAAGACUUUUGGAACAUGCCCUGAUGCCUUGAUGGAUGUCAUCCUCUCCUACUACUAUAACUGUCUUUGUCUCUUUCUCAUUUUCUACCUAAUUGUGUUGGUGUCUCGUGUUUUCUCUUGCUCCAUCUUAUCUUGUUACACAAAUCUAAUCAUAUUAGAAUUAAUUUUUUUUUCACAAAAGCUCAUAAAAACACUUUUGUCCCAGUAGAGUACCUAAAAAAACCUUAAGGGUAUUCACAUAACAAAUCAAGAAUACUAAUACUAAUAUUAAUAAUCCUAUAUUAAUAGUUGACUUGUAAAUAGUAAUUGAUAUUUGGUGUUUAUAUAGUAUGAUUGUAUAUGAAAAAUAUAAAAUCUUAUUUAACUUUUUCAUUAACAUAACAAUUAAUUUAUGGGGAUACUUGGCAGUUAAAAUAAAUUUUAUAAAAAAUAAAAUAAAAUAAAAGUAACAAAUAUUAUAGAAAAAAUGUUGACUAAAAUAAUAUAAUUUGGGACCGAAAGAGUAACGAAGGAAGGCUAAAAAAUUUGAUUAUGAAAAUAAUGAUCAUCGAAAAUCAAUUUGGGGAAAUGUCUCAAAAUGGGCCGUAUGGGUAAAAUCUAGGAUAUGCCCUUUUUUGUAGUUGUAGUCUAUGAAAAAGGAUUUUUUUUUUAAAAUAAAUACUUUUGCAAAUUGCGAAAAUCAGUGUACUUUUUUGUUGUUAUUUUCUUGCCAAAAAUCCUUUCUAAUGUUUUCUCUUACUUCAAGUGAUUUUUUUUAAUUGAUAUUGUCAAACAUAAUCUUAUAUUAUCCAAUAUUUUUUUUAUAUAUAUUUUAGUUUUAUUUAAAGAAUAUAAAUCAAGAUAUUACACUUUAUAACAACAAUUGAAAAAAAAAUUAAAAAGAUCUAUUUCUAUUACAAGAUUAUCUUGAUAUUCACUUAACAUUCCAAUAAUAAAAUUUAUUUCUGGUUUAAUGCAUGUCUGAGCAGACAAUAGAUUUCUAGUUCUUGAAGUAAAGAAUAGACUCCAUUGAUUUUUACUUCAAUUUAUUCUUGAGACAUUACAUUUGAUUUAAUUUGUCUUGUAUACAAAUUGAAAUUAUUUUUAAGGAACAACUUUUCAUUCUAAAUUUCUGUAAUAAUUUAUUGAUGUUCUUUCCGAGACAAUGAUAAUACACUUUGUAAAUUAUCAAGGAACAUUUUUAUUUCUAUUACAUAAGAUGUCUCAUUCAUUUUUUCUUAUUUCAAAUUUAUCAGAGAAAAAUCUUUAUACAUCAUGUAACAAACCGACAUCAUUAGUAGUAAGAAGAAUGUCAUCGAAAAAUAUAGGAACACUAUAUUAAACUUCCUCCCACCAAUUUUCAUGUAGAUACACUUAUCAACAUUAUUCUCAACAAAACCAUAUGAUAAGAAAGUAUCAUCAAAAUUGAUAUACCGUCUAAAAGCUUAUUGAUGGUUAAUGAAGAAAAAGGAAAGGUAACACUACCUUUAGCAGAAACUGAAAAAAAUUUACACUUUGACAUAGUUGAUGAGAAUUUUGUUGCAUAGAUAUACACAUGGCAUCUCAAUAGGAAUGCAGAAGUAAGUGAUUUUAUCUUUGAACAGAGUUUAUAGAAUACUGUUUCACUGUUAGUAACUUAGUAUAAUAGAAAUGUUGGUGCUUUAAACAAAUUUAAUACAAUUUCUAUUAUAUUUAGUAUUUAGGAAUUCUUUUAGUGAAGAAUAGAACUGAGUAAAGAGUGAAGAUUUUAUCUAAAUUAUAAAGAAUAUAUGCAUUGUGUAUGAUAAAUUUUUUAAUGUGUUUUUUUUUUUUUUAACUGAAAGAAGCACCCUUGGUAUUUAGUAUUAUAGUUUCUUUUUUCUUGAUUUUGUUUGGAGAGUAAUGCUAUUGCAGUCUGAAAAUUGGAGAGGAAGAAUAUAGCAGAGCACAUGCAAUUUGCAAAAUUUGCACACACACACGCACAAAAAAAAAAAAAAAGAAAUAAGGUGUUGCUGCACAUUAAUGUUGUGACCAAUACUUGGAAGUUAGUCUUUUGGGUGUGGAGCAUCUUCCAACUGUCCAAAUAAUUAUUAUAAAAAUAAAUAAGAACAGACAGAAAUAGAUCUAGUCAUCUUACUUAUAUUUGUCGCCAAGAAUUGCAAUAGAUGUCCUGAGAUUUGUAGCCAAUAAUAAUAAUAAUAAUUUCCUCUCUAUUUUCUUGUAAUUACCGAAAGAGAUUUAAUGUUGGAAUUUAGCUUAAUUUUGGAAAUAAUUUGAUUUUAAAAAAGAUUCAAAGUUGGAAUUGGUUUGAUUUAAAAGAGAUUUAAUAUUAAAAAUCGGUUUGAUAUUGAAAUUGAUUUGUUUUUUAAAAUGAUUUGAAAAGAGCUUGAGAAAUGAUUUGGUUGGGACUCUGGAGGAGUGACAAAGUUCGAAUUUUAGGAGAGAUGCUGUACAAAUUUUUAUAAAAUUGGAGAUUCCAUUUGAAGUGCUUAUUAGAAAGAUUUGAAUUUUUUUAAGGAUUUCAUAAUUUGAUUGAGUUAUUUAAAAAAGGAUUACAUUUUGAGUUUGCUUAUUUAGAAAAUAAUGAAUUGUGGUUGCGGAAACGUUGAGUUAUAAAUGAAUAAGAUAUAUGACCCCGGGUAAGAGGCAGUGGCAUUGUUCACUUGUUCCGGAAAAGAGAUGGAAAAUAAGAAUGAUGAAAACUGAGUUUGAAUUAUGAAAUUAAAUUGAAUGAUAUUGAGAAUGGAGUUGAAAAUGAAAUUGAAUUUUGAUUGAGAUAUAUGUGACCGGGUAAGAUGUAAUGGUGCUAUCCACUUGCUCUGGAUAAGAGUUCGAGACUCCAGGUAAGAUGCAAAGGUUGAGUUCUGUCGCCGCUUGCUCCGAGUUGAGAAUUGUAACACCACUUAGAUAAGAGGCAGGGUAAAAUUGUCCCCUGCUCCAGGUACACGGGUAAGAUGCAAGGGUUGCAGUGUUGUCCCACUUGUUCCGUGUUUGGUGUUCUGUCCAUGGUUAGCUACCAGGACAUGUCGGGUUGGCUGUAUAAUCGACAGAUGACCUCAUUAACCAUAGGGUAGACAUGCAUCAUAUGCAUUUUAAUGCUUUGUUUGAGUUUGAAUUUGUUUUGGUUUGUUUAAUUGUUUAAUUGUUAUUAACUGCUAUCUGAGCUACUUACUGUAACUGUUAUCUAUACUUGUAUUUUUCUUGUCUGUUUUGCCUGUGUUUGCUCUGGUGUGGUACUUUUGAGAUUGAAUUUUAGUGCUGAAUUGAUGAUAAUUGCUGAUUGAUUGUGUGAAUGGACGUGAGGCCGUAAUUGGUUUCUGAUUGAGGUUUAGUUAAGUAUGAAAAAUCACGCUGGUUCAACAUAGACUUAAUGAACCUAUGCUUGGAACAGGUUAGUCCUUCAUACAGUCUAGAAAACUCUUUAAGAUUUUUCUUAUACGAAAAGAAAGGUUUUGGAUUUGAAUAAUUAACUGAUUUCUUUUAAAAAGGUUUUGAAUUUUUUAUGGUUAAACUGUCAGUUUUCAAAAGAUUCAUAAGAUAAGCGACGAUCAUUCUGUUUGAAAACAGUUUUCUUAUUAAAUAUCUUCUUACGACAAUUCUGAAACUCCAUGGUGAAACUGUGUGGUUAGGUUCUCACUGCCCUACAGCUUUAUCUUUUCAAGAAUCGGAUGAAGGAGCUUACGAAGAGCUUUAUUGUGUUUUGUUAUAUGAUGUUGCUGUUUUAGUUAGAUAAUUAUUCUUCCCUUGCCUUUAUUAUUGUAAUAUUGUAAGAGGGAUAGAAGUUUGUAUGUUUUGUAUAUAUAUCAUGGUUAUAAAACCGGACCGGACUGGCCGGUUCAACUGGGUUAACCGAAAAUCGGUCACUUGGCCGGUCCGGUUGACACCUAAAAUCAUUCUACAAAAAACCAGUAAAAAACCGAUCGAAUCGAUGGUUAACCGGUGAACCAACUGAACCGGCUGAGUUUUUAAAGGUUCCAGUUUUUUAUUGUUGCUUGAAACAGCGUCGUUUUUGACACAGACAAAAAAAAGAAAACCUAUACGGUUAGUACAGAAGGCUCCCUGCCUCCCUCUCCCUUCACUUUCACAAUUCACACAACCUAACCCCAAUCAGAGAACUCAGACAAGAGCAACCCCCACCAACAGCUGCUUCUCACUGACUCACCCUCUUCUCCUCAUCGUGGAACAUCGUCGUCGCUCGCGUCGCCCACUUUACUAUCGCACGUCGGUCAUCUUGUCGUCUCGCCUCUUCGUCUCUGUCGCCAGCUCGCCGCCCAAAUCGCCUCUCUGCUCACCUCUCCGUUCUCCGCGGCGAAUGUCCCUGCAUGCUUCUUAAAUGUCGUUGGCGGUAAACUCCUCGACUCUAACCCUCAAUUAGUAGCAGUAGCCAGCAAGUUUACAGCUCCCCAAAUCUGAGAUCCAGCGUUAUCACAGCGGCCAGAUCUGAGAUCUACCUCUCCUUCCCGUUCACCCACUACUCCAUUGAUCUGUUUGUCAGGAUUUGGAGCUGAGCUAGCAUGAGUUUUUGUGGAAUCUUGAUCUGGAAGAAGCGUUAGAAGCAUGCGUUUUUUGUAAUUUCAGAGCAAUUCUCAUUGUAUUUGAGUGUUUGUGGUGGUUCUUGAAGUCUGCAGUGUUGAAUCUUGGAUUUGGUUGCUUUUGGAGAAAAUGUUAGAGCUCAAGGACAUCCCUACGUAAGCUUGGAAAGAAGAAUAUUUUUUUCUGCAUUUUGUGUCUUAAGACUUGUUUUGAUGAUGUUUUGUAUCAACAUUUGAGAGACAACUUGUAUGCGCUGAGACUGUCUAUUGCUAAGAUAACUCUUCUGAAACCAAAUUUUUGGCCUUUUAAUUAAAUCAGUUCAACCACGGUUCCAUCCCGGUUAACCAUUGAACCACUGAACUAGUUACUCGACCGGUUCAAUGACCGGUCCGGUUUUUGCAACCUUGAUAUAUAUUAUAUUUAUAAGCUACUUAUGUAACAAGUUUUGUAUAUAUGAAUAUGCUUAAUGGUUUUCAAAAUAAAGCAUUUUUUCGGGUUUUUCAAAGAAAACAGCGACACAGUUUCACGUCAAAAGCUCAUAUUUUUUUAUUAAGUAUAUAAAGUCGUCGUAAUAUCCCUUGCUAUCAGAGUGGCGCAGCCAAAAGCAUGAUUUAAAAUUCUUUUAAUAUAGUUUUUUUGUUUAUUACGUAAAGUUUAUACAUAUGAAAAACCCUGAUUUGCCAUGGUCUUCAGAUUUAAAGUUGAAAAGUGCGAGAGACAUUGCUGAGUUUUCUAACUUAAUGUCCUACCCCAACCAACUGGACUACUCUUCCUUAGAUUGUCAUCGCUGUCCUCAUCUAUUAUGACGGGAUCCACAUCAUCGUCAUCCCACAAUAUAUCCUCCACGGGAUUCGGUUGUCCACCGUCUCUUGAAACUGGGAUAAUAACAGGAGUAUCUAUCAUCACAAUCACAAGCUCAUCAAAAGAUCGAUUAUCACUAAUUUCUCCAUCAUUAACGCAAUUUAGAUUAACUGUAAAGGACGGAGAUGCCGCCAAUACUGCUUUGGAUGCAAUUACAGGCACAGAUGAAAAGGCAACAACAGACAUUGAACUAGAUUAAGGAAUCCAAUUCAAUCUUCCUGAACUAGAUACCACAUCUCCAAACUUGGCCGAUAGUUCAUAGGUUUUGACCUCGAAAAAUUGACGACGACCAUGAAACAAAACUUGCAAAUCUUCGUCACUAUCUAUUACAAAGGAAUCGUACUUCACACCAUCUCGGAAAACAAAAAUUGAAAUUCUAUAAAAUAAUUUCUUCACUCGUUUCAUGCCAUUAACUCCCAGUUUUUGGAUUAUAGUAUUCUGAAAUUGAGCAAAACUCAUAGAAGGAUUGAUAAAGACACUCAAUAGAUUCUUAUAAGUAAAUUUUAUUCUCUCUCGUAAUUUUUUCUUAAUCAUCCCUUUAUAGUGCACAAAAACUAAAAAAUUAUCAUCACUAGUCAUUGUGAGAGCCACUCUAAUGAGUAAUAAACUUUUUAGUUGUAUUUAUAUAGGACAUAUAUUCGUAGUUAAUCGAAUUAAGUAAAUUCG